AUGCCAUGAUGAAGACAUCUCCUGAAUAACUCAUUGAAUCUUUCCCAAGCCUCAUAUAAGUUUUCAUCUUCUAGUUGACGAAAAGAAGUAAUCUCAUUCCAUAAUUUU
rfam:Citrus sinensis cultivar Ridge Pineapple sweet orange scaffold02895_contig_1, whole genome shotgun sequence.